rnacentral:rRNA from 1 species
UACGAAGGGGGCUAGCGUUGUUCGGAAUUACUGGGCGUAAAGCGCGUGUAGGCGGGUCUUUAAGUCAGGGGUGAAAUGCCAAGGCUCAACCCUGGAACUGCCUUUGAUACUGGAGACCUUGAGUCCGGGAGAGGUGAGUGGAAUUGCGAGUGUAGAGGUGAAAUUCGUAGAUAUUCGCAAGAACACCAGUGGCGAAGGCGGCUCACUGGCCCGGAACUGACGCUGAGACGCGAAAGCGUGGGGAGCAAACAGG